GUGCUCGCUUUGACAGCACAUAUACUAAAAUUGGAAUGAUACAAAGAAGAUUAGCAUGGCUCCUAUGCAAGAAUGACAUGUAAAUUCAUGAAGUAUUUCAUAUUUUU